UAGGGAAUCUUCCACAAUGGACGCAAGUCUGAUGGAGCAACGCCGCGUGAGUGAAGAAGGUUUUCGGACCGUAAAGCUCUGUUGUUGGUGAAGAAGGAUAGAGGUAGUAACUGGCCUUUAUUUGACGGUAAUCAACCAGAAAGUCACGGCUAACUACGUGCCAGCAGCCGCGGUAAUCGUAGGUGGCAAGCGUUGUCCGGAUUUAUUGGGCGUAAAGCGAGCGCAGGCGGAAGAAUAAGUCUGAUGUGAAAGCCCUCGGCUUAACCGAGGAAUUGCAUCGGAAACUGUUUUCUUGAGUGCAGAAGAGGAGAGUAGAACUCCAUGUGUAGCGGUGGAAUGCGUAGAUAUAUGGAAGAAUACCAGUGGCGAAGGCGGCUCUCUGGUCUGCAACUGACGCUGAGGCUCGAAAGCAUGGGUAGCGAACAGGAUUAGAUACCCUGGUAGUCCAUGCCGUAAACGAUGAGUGCUAAGUGUUGGGAG
rnacentral:rRNA from 1 species